rnacentral:rRNA from 1 species
UACGAAGGGGGCUAGCGUUGCUCGGAAUCACUGGGCGUAAAGGGGUGCGUAGGCGGGUCUUUAAGUCAGGGGUGAAAUCCUAGAGCUCAACUCCAGAACUGCCUUUGAUACUGAAGAUCUUGAGUUCGGGAGAGGUGAGUGGAACUGCGGAGUGUAGAGGUGAAAUUCGUAGAUAUUCGCAAGAACACCAGUGGCGAAGGCGGCUCACUGGCCCGAUACUGACGCUGAGGCACGAAAGCGUGGGGAGCAAACAGG